rnacentral:rRNA from 1 species
AACGAACGCUGGCGGCGCGCCUAACACAUGCAAGUCGAACGAGAAUCCGGGGCAACCCGGUAGUAAAGUGGCAAACGGGUGAGGAAUACAUGGGUAACCUACCCUUGAGAAGGGAAUAACCCGCCGAAAGGUGAGCUAAUACCCUAUACGCUAUCUUUUUUUCGAAAAGGAUAGGAAAGCCGGGUCGAGGACCUGGUACUCAAGGAGGGGCUCAUGUCCUAUCAGCUUGUUGGUGGGGUAACGGCCUACCAAGGCUACGACGGGUAGCUGGUCUGAGAGGAUGAUCAGCCACACUGGCACUGAGAUACGGGCCAGACUCCUACGGGAGGCAGCAGUGAGGAAUAUUGCGCAAUGGGCGAAAGCCUGACGCAGCGACGCCGCGUGGGGGAUGAAGGUUUCGGAUUGUAAACCCUUUCAUGAGGAAAGAUAAAGUGGGUAACCACUUAGACGGUACCUCAAGAAGAAGCCACGGCUAACUUCGUG